rnacentral:rRNA from 1 species
GUAGGGGGCAAGCGUUGUCCGGAUUUAUUGGGCGUAAAGAGCGCGUAGGCGGCCUGGUAUGUCGUGCGUGAAAUCUCCCGGCUUAACUGGGAGGGGCCGUGCGAAACUGCCGGGCUUGAGGUCAGAAGGGGAAAGUGGAAUUCCGGGUGUAGUGGUGGAAUACGUAGAUAUCCGGAGGAACACCAGCGGCGAAGGCGGCUUUCUGGUCUGAUACUGACGCUGAGGCGCGAAAGCGUGGGGAGCGAUCCGGAUUAGAUACCCGGGUAGUCCACGCCGUAAACGAUGAGUACUAGGUGUCGGGGGUAUCGACCCCCUCGGUGCCGGCGCUAACGCAUUAAGUACUCCGCCUGGGGACUACGGCCGCAAGGCUAAA